rnacentral:lncRNA from 1 species
GUUAGUCUCUUUCCCUUUAAGCAUUUAGAUGUUCUGCUCUGUGGAUAGCGCAGGCUCCUGUUGGCCUUUGAUGACCACUAUCUGAUUGUUCUGUGGCAUGGAUUUCUCUACUUGAGCCUUAGGCAGGCUAAGGUAUUGCUAGCCUUUGAGGCUUGCCCUGACCUCCUCUGGGGAAAUCAUCUUGCUACAAAGCAGGUGCUAAGCAUGAGGAAGGUUCUGGAGCAGGUGCCAAGCCAGGAAUCUCACUCUGGGCUUUAUGGUCUUAGAAGUCUGCAC